rnacentral:rRNA from 1 species
AACGAACGCUGGCGGCGUGCUUAACACAUGCAAGUCGAACGAACCUUUCGGGGUUAGUGGCGGACGGGUGAGUAACGCGUGAGGAUCUGCCCUCAGGAGGGGGACAACUUUUGGAAACGGAAGCUAAUACCCCAUAUGGCGAGAGCUGAAAGAUUUAUCGCCUGAGGAUGAGCUCGCGUCUGAUUAGCUAGUUGGUGGGGUAAAGGCUUACCAAGGCGACGAUCAGUAGCUGUUCUGAGAGGAAGAUCAGCCACACUGGGACUGAGACACGGCCCAGACUCCUACGGGAGGCAGCAGUGGGAAUUUUCCGCAAUGGGCGCAAGCCUGACGGAGCAACGCCGCGUGAGGGAGGAAUGCCUGUGGAUUGUAAACCUCUUUUCUCUGGGAAGAAGUACUGACGGUACCAGAGGAAUCAGCAUCGGCU